GGCUCUGGCUUUUUGGAGCAGGUCAGCUAGCAGGAGGAAGUGUUGUCCGCUCAGCUAGCAGGAGAAAGCUGUUGUCCCUGGUGAUGGAGGUCCUCUGCUUGCUCUUUGCCAGCAGUGCAUUUGCCAUCCUGCAGAGCUCGCUGCCUCGGUGAAGCCCUUCCAGGGGAGAGAUCCAUCAUCGCCCUGAGAGGGCCCAAGCCAGCCGGCGCCGCGCAGCGCUGCUUGUCGUGGCUCGGAGCUUGCUACCUGCCAGGCAUCCGCUGCAGCCACCUCUCGUACCUGUGUCUGUCUCUGUGAUGCACCAAAGAGAUCCCAGCAAGACCCAGAUCGGCUUGCACUGCAAAUGCAGGAUCAAUUUCUUCAAGCAAGAAAACUAGAAAUGUGUUCCUUUUCCACUGUAAAUGAUGUAAAAUGAAAGAAACUGAGGCAGGAGAGGGGAGGAAGGUAAAAUACUGACAAGUGAAUAAAUCUUAGACAUAACAUGCAAACAUUUUUUUCCUGAUCAAUGGAACUAUAUAAGCAUGUUCAUGAAAUUUAAUUAAGUUCUGUGCCUCAAAGAAAUCCAUGUACAAUAGUUCAGUGUAAUUAUUUAUUUACUGUCUGCCAUGUAGCUUUUAGCUUUCAUCCAGAAAAUGAUCUGUUUCCGCUGCAUUUUCGUGAGCAGGUGCGCAGCAAGGAGGCAGCAACUCAAAUGGUUUGUGGGAAGGCUUCCUCUCCUCUCCUCUCCUCUCCCAGCCUGCAUGUCAACGGCCUGCUCACAAAGAAAACCUACGGCUGUGUUUAGGUGUGCUUCGAGUACGAUGUGGUUUGUAUUGAAGCUACCAGCACAGGUUUCUACAUGUGGACUCCUGCAGCUUUAGGCCCCGGGCUGUGCCAGCAUGAAGCACCAUGCACAGCCCCUGCUCCCUUCCCUGUGGUGCUCAGCCCGCAGGGGGACGCUUCCCUGCUCGCAGAGGACCAGGACGCAUCUUGCACCACAUCCUACAGCAGGAGCCCCUGGGGAUGUGCAGGCGCUGCCACCAGCCGCAUGCAGCAGCCCAGGAGGCAGCCGACCUCUUGGCACAUCACGCAGACAGGUGGGUGAGCCGAUCGCAUCCAGCCACUGCUUCGUGCCCUUCUUGCCUGGGGGAAGGGGGCAGUUUCACUGUUUUCCUUGAAGGCUGAGAUUUUCAGAAUCUAAAGGGAGAUGGAUGUCACGUUCCUCGAGACAAAGCAGAUGACUUUAUCUUCUGUUUUUAUCUUUCUGUUUUUGAAUUGCCAUGUUUUCGUGCAGUAAUUUUUCCCAAAGGAGAAGAUAUUUAGAUCCAGGAUUUGGUUUCAAAACCCACAGGGGUUUGAAUCCGUCAGCUUGGAUUGAGUUUCCACAAACUCAUCUCUGCAGGAUGCGGAUCUGUAGCAUUGCAUCCAUUCAGCUUGUUUCAUCUGUAAUGCUAAGCCCAAAAGAAGAAAUAGCUGAAGAGUAUGGGGUCCUGGUUGGAAAGGAAAUGAACAAAAUCCAGUUCUGCUGCCAGCAGAUGUGGAUGCUAUGGGAGCAGUGGCUUCUGCCUGUUUACAUCCAGACCUUAAUGACUCCAUGAUCUUUGUCUGGGCUGGCAGAGGUGCCAUGGCCUUGGCAGAAGCCCCCUGGGGGAGUCAGCAAGGAGCACAGUGAGCAGGAGCCUGGCCUCUUCCCGGUGGUGGGGAUCUCACCAAGGUGUGGCAAUUCUGCCCACAGACCCAAUGGGCACUGACCUUGCAAACCCUUUGCAACAGACUGUGGCUUCUGCCUCCACCUGGGGGACUCUUCAAAGCAACUGACUCUUUAAUCAAAUCUUUACUUGUGGAAGCAUUUUCAUCAGCCUCCUUAUUUAAAUAUUCUUUGUCUACUUAAAAUAAGGGAGACCAGCUUUCUAUCUGCAGACUCUGCCUUGGAAGAAAAUGAAUUAUGCCUCAGGUAAUAUAAGUGCAUUGACUUGAGAGAAUAGAGGAUUUGUUCUCCUGAAUGCUCACAAAUGAAUGAAAUCAAGCACACCCAGGAACAACUCCCUCCCAGCUAGGAAACACAUGCCUUUACAUCUUGAUAACUGUGGCUUCACCUGGGAAAGUAACAGCACCUGGGACCUGCACAUGGUUUAGGUUAAACAUCUAAAAGAAUGAAAAAGUUUAAUCAAGCUAUGGGUGCAGAACCUCUAACCUUUCAAGGGUUUAGGAGACAAUGGCAGGAUCGAGAGAAGGUCAUUCUAUCCCAAAAUGCCAGGAAUGGCAGAGAGGUAAAUCAGACAAAAAAAAUUCAGGCUACAGUAUGUCCUGAUAAAAUUAAUGAGACUAAAGCAACCCACCUUCAAGAAGUUGUCAGUGAUAUCUUUCAGAUACUGACCUAUCAAGAAAGCACAGCUGUACUUAAAUAAGUACACUGAAUAAAUUUACAAUGUGAAACAAUGAGAUCUCCCAUAACAAGCCUCUCAAAUUAGCCAAGCUGCAUGGGAGCAACCACUUCUGUCAGUGGAAAGGAGCCAGACAGGGAUAAUGCCCUGCAGAAAUGCUUGGUCCUUCAGCUGUUGCACCUGCUGCAUCCUUACUGAGCUCAUCAAAGCUUUUGCAAUUAACCUGAGGUCUUUGUAUUUACUCUAUCAAUAUAUCAAAUAACACUACAUAUUAUUAAAAAUAAUGGAAAAAAUCUUAUAAAAUAUAGUACUACUCAUGCAUAAAAAUAUUACAACUGAUCUGUAUUGGGCCAUUAAUUCAGAAAUACAAUUCCCCCCCUUAAUUCUACAAGAAGGUACUCAUUUUUAAGGAAGACUUGCUUAUAAACUAGGGGUAAACCUUUUUUCCACAUUUAUACUGCAAUAUUGUGCUAAACAACAACAACAAGCAGGUACCCACUUGAGGACCAGUUCCCUGCCUGGGCUUUGAUGAUGACCUAAUAACUAAGAGAGAAACCCAAAGAAAGCUAUUCAUCAAAUUCCUCCUUACUGAUAUCUGCAUGUUAGAAGCACGGAGACUUUAGGUUUUCAAUGAAGCAUCUCAAUUUUUUCAGCAGCCCCUGCCUCCUGCUUUGAUGCCCAGCCUACACUUGGUUGCCAUAUGACACCACACUAAGGCAAAGACUGCAAGAGAAAAUUCUCAUUUGAUAUGAAAGCAUCCAUUACCAACACAGGUGUUACAUUUAGUUUAACUGAAGAUCAGUAGUCAAAUUCUCAUAUGAGUAUGCAAACAGUAAAUUUGUAAAAAGCCUUCUCCUUUCUCCAGGCUUGAGCUUAGCCUCUGUAAUCCUUCUGUUCCUAUAUGGAACAAAAUGUUCAACUUCCCCACACUACAAGUGAAAAACCUGAGCUGAGAAAAAAUCAGCUCUUUGUAGGAGCAUAAAUAAACAUAUUUUCAAGCUCUCUGAUGGCAUGCUCCCUCAAGCUUUGCUCUGAGUUUUUGGCCUUGAGAAUAUUUAAAGUGCAAAAUUCAGCCAAAAUCAGCAUGUUCCACCGGGUUCUAUUUCAGCCUGAUUUAAUUCUGGUGUAAAAAUAUAUUCUGAUUCAGUUUGAUGGAAAUUCAGUCUGAAGUUCUUAAAAUAAGACUCCUCCAAAAUAUGCAGAGAGAGAGAACUUUUUCUUUUGGUUUGGCUCUCAGGCCCUGGAUGAAGACAGGCGCAGGAGCAGAAGCGCUGCAGCCCCAUCCCCACGUGCAGUCGGAGCUCAAGCCGGAGGCAGCGCCUUCGUGCUGCUCUUCCCUCUGGAGUACUUCUGGGCUGGGAACGCAGACCAAAACUCGGAUUCACGCUCGUGUUUGAAAUGAAAGAUUUGGGGCUGCUGUACCUUUUUUUUUUCCCAACCAACUCCAGACCCCCGUGUCUGGAGCAGGCCUGGAGGGGUUUUCAGAUGCGGGCUUAAAGCUGGCGGUGUUCUGCAGGCUGGCAGCGGCUGCGACUCUCCACCGUGAGGCCAGGCAGGUGCCAGGGGGCAGUCAGGGGGGUGCAUGAGGCUGACGUGCCUGAGAAUGGCUUCACAUCAUAAAGGGAACAAGGGUCCUAAGGAAGGGGAGGAUUCAAACAGCAAUUUUCCAGGCGCCCCAAAUGCUCUCUGGAGAAACACGCGCUCACUGCAGGGGAAUUGCCUCCGUGAGGGCUCAGCGCUGCGGUGAGCUCAGGGCUUUCCGUAGGGGCCCCGAGGAGGCAGCGGGGAUGUCGAGGUGCCAGGACACCCAGCCCCUCGAGGCACAGGCCAGUGAUCACAACUCCCGCUAGCCGGCCAGACCCAGCACUCGUUCAACCAAGUCAUUUGUACGCGAGGUUUUCACAGUGGAUUACAAACCAAGGCAGCCAGGGGUUUCUUCACUGCAUUUUGGGUAAGGGAAUAUUUUAGCUGCCUUAGCAGCUAAUCAAUGAGCUCCUAUAAAUUGCUAAUCACUGUUAGUAGAUUCAGAACAAGUACUAAAAAAAUUUUAACGCCAGUAAUUUAUGAACCAGCUUCCUAAGCCCAUCCAGUUAUUACAGCUGUAGAGUGCUCACACCAACACUUGGCUUAUGGACGGGAAGGUAUUUUACAUGACUGGUAGUCAAUACAAAGCAGUCAAUGGGAUCACACUCUAAUCGAACAGUUUAUAUUUAUGGCUAUUUCAACAAUGCUCAUAACCAGCUAUCGAAAUGUAAAAAGUAUUAUCACAAUUCCAGGCUUCUCACUUAAAAAAAAAAUAUAUUAUUAGAAAACUAAUGUAACAAGAUAAUUUGAGAAAAUUAAGGAAAACAGCCUACACA